CAGGAAAAAACUGUGAGAGAGCGUGGAGUAAUUAAACAUUUAACUCUGCAUAGAGGAGUUUUCAUUUUAAGACUGACUUCCCCAGACUCCAGAGAACUCGAAUUACAACACGAGUGUUAAAGGGUUGUGGAGGAUCCGGAGAAUGUCUCGGGAAUGCUGGACACGAGGCAAGAACUUAAUGGGACACAACUGCAGUGUAGACUGUAACCUGAGCUCGGGAUCACGGCAGGGGGCUUGGAGCUGUGAGUUGUCGUAAAUUGGUUAUGAUUCUAUAUCUAUGAAGGUACCUGUAAGUGAAUGUUUUGAGACAGGCGUGGGAGGCAGCAUAUAUCAUCACACUGCUUACGCUACAAACAUAUUAUAACAGUCAUUAAAUUUAAAAGUCUGUUUAGUCAAGACAUAAAAAGUCAAGUUAGUCGAGACAUAAUCACCUUCUGUUAGGGAAAAAUAAGUAUUCCUGACUAGAAAUAAAACCCAAAAUAUAUACAAGUAGCUUAUCUGUCCACUCUAAUCUUCUCUGUUUUUUGUUGGCCACCAUAUUUUUUUUAUCAGACCGGACGACACACAGGAUUAUGGGAGAGCAUGCACGGGAGCAUGCAUGCAAAAAUCAGUCAGA